CCCUCCUCCUCAAAGGACCUGACGUUCUCGUCAGUCACACGCCUAAGCCAGAUCGUCCCUUCUUGCCACACGCCCAUAUGCGUCCAGUGCCGGCAAACACGCUUAACUAGGUUCCUUUCGGAUGGGCUUCUGGAAAAAAAGGCAACGCAGGUGUCUUGGAUGCCAAAAGUAUACAAUCGAGUCGACAAAGGUCCUAUUCGAGCCAAAUCAACGUCGAGUUGUACAUGUGCGUGUUGACCAUUGCCACGUUAGAAACAAGGAAAUUUGCAAAAAGGACAAUCGAAGACCAAACCUGACUCUGCACUGCUCAGCGUGAAGAACCUAACCAUGUCAACGGCUUCGUAGCGACUGGCCGCACACAUGUAAGAAGGGGCCAAGGUGCAACCUCCAUUGAUAGUCAUGCUCCCUCCGAUCUGUAAUAAAUGUUUUGGAUUUAGUACAAAAUUAGUACAAGGGUUAAUAACUUUAUUCAAACUCCAAAACCAUUACAUGUACAAUGCUUCGGACUAUAGACAUAAUAAACUACAAAGUAAUCGCUAGGACUAAGAAUUACAAUGAAAUUUCUCGAGCAAAUCUUUUUUUUGGUAUCAAUCUUUGCAACACAAAAUAUUGUCCAUGCAUUAGCAAAAAGACUACCAUUAGAUUGAAUCGGCAACAUCGUCACUCGUACCCUUGCACGAUUUGACUAUCUCAAAAAAACCCUUGAGACGCCCACCUAAAAAAAUGAGAAGCCGUGAUCGUUCAACUUGAGCCAAAGAUGAUCCCUAAAGGUGCAGGUCAUCAAACCACAUGAUCUUUAUGAAAACGCCGUAGAAGAACUCCAAAGCCACAAAAGGUCGUACCAACAAAAACACCAAGACAAACUAACGGAGACUCAUCAAAUUCAUGUGAAUGGGUAUGUGAGGAGACACACUCAAAGUCUCAUCACAUUCAUAUGAAUGGAUAGGCGAGGAGACGUACUCAAAAUCCGCAUGAUUGAACACGUCAAAUCCGCGGUGAGUAAAACUUUCUGGAACCGUGCCAUUGGCCAAUAAGACUCUGGUGACUGUAGGUGAGGAGAACAGAUUCCGCUGACAACGGUGCUCAACCUCAAAACACUAAGUUAUCUCAAUCUUUCUCCCUGGCGGCGGCUAUGCAGCAGUUACACUCUGGAAGCUGUGUAUUGAGUAUUGACACCAAAUUGCCGGUGAUUCUGCUGUGCCAGAUGCUUGAUGCAAUUGUCCAAAAAAAUAAUUAUAGCUGUACCACACAUGAGUGAAGACUUCCUGGGCACCCUUAGAACCAGAAAUUUCUGAGCAAAACUGUAUCUUAGGGAAAAUAAAAUAAGACCUGCAUCGUGCUACGGUGCAAUUGAUUGACAAUGAAGCGUUUGAAGUGUUAAUCUCUUGGCAACUAUGUAUAUAGCCUGUGUACAGAAAUUAUGAAUUAACAUAUCGGUCUGGAUAUUACAGUUAAAGGCUUGAUCAUUUAUCUCAUCAGCAGUCUAAC